rnacentral:lncRNA from 1 species
UAUGUAUAGAGAGAGAGGAAGAGAUCAACUGUCGGUUGUCGGCGGUUUGCGCUUCGGUGGCGGCUCAGGCUUUGGUUCGGGUUUGGGUUCUGGUUUAGGCAUCGGUUCAGGCUUGGGCUCGGGUUUUGGUUCAGGUUUAGGCAUGGGCUUAGGCAUGGGCUCAGGCUUUGGUUCUGGUUUAGGCAUUGGCUUAGGCUUGGGUUCGGGUUUUGGCUCUGGUUUGGGCAUUGGCUCAGGCUUGGGUUCUGGUUUAGGCAUGGGCUCAGGCUUUGGUUCCGGUUUAAUUGGCUCAGGCUUCGGUUCCGGCUUAGGCAUUGGCUCGGGCUUGGGCUCAGGUUUUGGCUCAGGUUUAGGCAUUGGCUCGGGUUUGGGCUCAGGUUUAGGCUCAGGUUUAGGCACUGGCUCAGGCUUAGGCUCGGGUUUAGGCUCAGGUUUAGGCACUGGCUUAGGCAUGGGCUCGGGUUUUGGUUCCGGUUUAGGCAUUGGCUCAGGUUUGGGCUCGGGUUUAGGCUCGGGUUUAGGCAUUGGCUUAGGCAUGGGCUCGGGUUUUGGUUCCGGUUUGGGCAUGGGCUCUGGUUUUGGCUCGGGUUUUGGCAUUGGCUUAGGCAUGGGCUCUGGUUUUGGUUCCGGUUUAGGCAUCGGCUCAGGUUUCGGCUCUGGUUUAGGCAUUGGUUUGGGCAUUGGUUCCGGCUUGGGCUCUGGCUUCGGCUCGGGCUUGGGCAUGGGUUCAGGUUUGGGCUCAGGUUUCGGUCCCGGUUUGGGCAUUGGUUCUGGCUUCGGCUCAGGUUUCGGUUCAGGUUUAGGCAUGGGUUCAGGUUUCGGUUCAGGUUUUGGCUCUGGUUUUGGCAUGGGCUUGG